rnacentral:rRNA from 1 species
AGGACGAACGCUGGCGGCGCGCUUAACACAUGCAAGUCGAGCGAGAACCAGGCCUUCGGGCCUGGGGAAAGCGGCGAACGGGUGAGUAACACGUGGGUAACCCACCCUUGGUACCGGGAUAGCCCGAGGAAACUCGGAUUAAUACCGGAUGGCCCAACAGCUCUUCGGGGCGGUUGGAAAAGGUAGCUUCGGCCUCCGACCAAGGACGGGCCCGCGGCGGAUUAGCUUGUUGGUGAGGUAACGGCUCACCAAGGCGACGAUCCGUAGCUGGUCUGAGAGGACGAUCAGCCACACUGGGACUGAGACACGGCCCAGACUCCUACGGGAGGCAGCAGUGGGGAAUCUUGCGCAAUGGGCGAAAGCCUGACGCAGCGACGCCGCGUGGGGGAAGAAGGCUUUCGGGUUGUAAAACCCCUUUCAGGAAGGACGAAGCCACUCGGGUGAAUAGCCCAGAGGGUGACGGUACUUCCAGAAGAAGCCCCGGCUAACUACGUGCCAGCAGCCGC